UACAGAGGGGGCAAGCGUUGUUCGGAAUUACUGGGCGUAAAGGGCGCGUAGGCGGCCCGCUAAGUCGAACGUGAAAUCCCCGAGCUCAACUCGGGAACUGCGUCCGAUACUGGUGGGCUUGAAUCCGGGAGAGGGAUGCGGAAUUCCAGGUGUAGCGGUGAAAUGCGUAGAUAUCUGGAGGAACACCGGUGGCGAAGGCGGCGAUCUGGACGAUGACUGACGCUGAGACGCGAAAGCGUGGGGAGCAAACAGG
rnacentral:rRNA from 1 species